UCCAAUGGGAGACAGCGAUGACGAGUUUGACAGGAGGGCGUCGGGAUAAAUUCAGGAGAGAGCGGAGCGACAUGGAGAGGUCAAGAGAGAGGAGGACAGGAGGAGGGAUGAGUGGCAAGACAGAGAGUGGGACCGGAAGCAGAGAGAGGAGGCGGGGAUUAUGACCGUGGUCGGCGAGAGCGGUUCUCUCCAUCCAGACACAUCAGCCCUCAGCACAAACGCAUGAGGAGAGACUGGGAAGACCACCGGGGGGAGCCAUACCGGUACGAGCUGCCGUACGGGGGCGGUGGUGGCAUCUACCCAGGGAUGGGGCCUCAGGGCUGGCACCCGGACUUCCCUCCCAUGCACCCCCACCCUGGAGGUCAUCCGCUGCAGGGCAGGUUGGGGAUGGUAGAUCCAGAUCUUCCUCCUCCGGGACCACCCACCCUGAAGAGUUUUAAGGAGUUCCUGUUGAACAUGGACGACAAUUGUGGACGAGACAGAGUCGGUCAAGCGCUACAACCAGUACAAGCUGGACUUCAGGCGGCAGGCAGCUGCAGGACUUCUUUCUCCAGCACAAAGACCAGGAGUGGUUCCGCUCCAAGUACCACCCAGAUGACAUGGCAGCGAAGAGGGCGGAGUCUCUGGCCGCCCUCAAGGCGCGCCUGCGUGUCUUUCUCUUCCUGCUGGACAACAGCUGGCUGGAUGAUGUGCUGCUGGACACGGACCACGCCCCCGCCAUCAUCAAGCUCAUGGACGCAGCUGUGA
rnacentral:lncRNA from 1 species